GUGCUUGCUUUGGCAGCACAUAUACUAAAAUUGGAAUGAUACAGAGAAGAUUAGCAUGGCCCCUACGCAAGAAAAAGUUGAGGAAGAAAUUGGUGUAAAUAAAUAAA